rnacentral:miRNA from 1 species
GUUAGUCUCCCUCGCAGACGUUCUUAUAGCUCUAACCCUCGCUAACUAACGAUAUAUUGUUAGUUAGCGAGGGUUAGAGCUAUAAGAACGUCUGCGAGGGAGACUAUA